GACGAACGCUGGCGGCGUGCUUAACACAUGCAAGUCGAACGGAAAGGCCCCGCUUUUGUGGGGUGCUCGAGUGGCGAACGGGUGAGUAACACGUGAGUAACCUGCCCUUGACUUUGGGAUAACUUCAGGAAACUGGGGCUAAUACCGGAUAGGAGCUCCUGCUGCAUGGUGGGGGUUGGAAAGUUUCGGCGGUUGGGGAUGGACUCGCGGCUUAUCAGCUUGUUGGUGGGGUAGUGGCUUACCAAGGCUUUGACGGGUAGCCGGCCUGAGAGGGUGACCGGCCACAUUGGGACUGAGAUACGGCCCAGACUCCUACGGGAGGCAGCAGUGGGGAAUAUUGCACAAUGGGCGGAAGCCUGAUGCAGCAACGCCGCGUGCGGGAUGACGGCCUUCGGGUUGUAAACCGCUUUCGCCUGUGACGAAGCGUGAGUGACGGGAAUGGGUAAAGAAGCACCGGCUAACUACGU
rnacentral:rRNA from 1 species